rnacentral:rRNA from 1 species
AACGAACGCUGGCGGCAUGCCUAACACAUGCAAGUCGAACGAGACCUUCGGGUCUAUUGUCGCACGGGUGCGUAACGCGUGGGAACCUGCCCUUAGGUUCGGAAUACCUCCCCGAAAGGGGUGCUAAUACCGGAUCAUGUCUUCGGACCAAAGAUUUAUCGCCUUUGGAUGGGCCCGCGUUGGAUUAGCUAGUUGGUAGGGUAAAAGCCUACCAAGGCGACGAUCCAUAGCUGGUCUGAGAGGAUGAUCAGCCACACUGGGACUGAGACACGGCCCAGACUCCUACGGGAGGCAGCAGUGGGGAAUAUUGGACAAUGGGCGAAAGCCUGAUCCAGCAAGGCCGCGUGAGUGAUGAAGGCCUUAGGGUUGUAAAGCUCUUUUACCCGGGAUGAUAAUGACAGUACCGGGAGAAUAAGCUCCGGCUAACUCCGUG